UCUCUCUCUCUCUCUCUCUCUCUCUCUCUCUCUCUCUCUCUCUCAAGUGUGGUUUCUCUUUUUCUUGCUUAAUUUGGCGUAGGGUAACUUUUAACGCACAUUUUCCUUUCCCGCGUCAAUAUGUAAGCGACUGUGUCCAUGCGAGCUGAAGUUCAUGAAAUAGGAGAGAUUAAUUGAUCCAUUGAUAGUUUAUUGUUGCAAGUAAACAACAAAGGAGAAGGGAGGAGCAUGCCAUCCCAACCCCCAGGCAGUACAGAGUGUGAUUAUACAACUAAGGAUACAUGUGGAAGUAGCACCAGGAAACUAAAAAGAUACAGUGGUAAAGAGUAGGAAGUUCAAGAGAAUGGUAAGCAAGUGGUUGGCGGCGGCGGCGGCGGUGGGGCGAGGAAAUAAAGAGCUUUACACUGGGUUUAGGGAGGCGGCGGGCGAGUGUUGGAACCAUGGUUGGGCCACGAUUGCCACGCGCCACCACACCGGGGACCUUAUCCUCAAACACCUCGCCACUUGCACACAGGGCUUUCGAAGGAGUUUGGGGCAUUUCCAGAGGUACAUUUAUGACCCUGGUGGAAGUUUGACCCUUCUUCUGUACCACGAACGUAAAAAAGAACUCAUGAAUCCCAUAUGACAGGAGUUUUGGGCAUUUCCAGAGGUACAUUUAUGACCCUGGUGGAAGUUUGACCCUUCUUCUGUAUCAUGAACGUUAAAAAAAACCUCGCGAAUCCCAUAUGACAGGAGUUUUGGGCAUUUCCAGAGGUACCUUUAUGACCCUGGUGGAAGUUUGACCCUUCUUCUGUAUCUUGAACGUAAAAAAACCCCUCAUGAAUCCCAUAUGACAGGAGUUUUGGGCAUUUCCAGAGGUACAUUUAUGACCCUGGUGGAAGUUUGACCCUUCUUCUGUACCACGAACGUAAAAAAGAACUCAUGAAUCCCAUAUGACAGGAGUUUUGGGCAUUUCCAGAGGUACAUUUAUGACCCUGGUGGAAGUUUGACCCUUCUUCUGUACCACGAACGUAAAAAAGAACUCAUGAAUCCCAUAUGACAGGAGUUUUGGGCAUUUCCAGAGGUACAUUUAUGACCCUGGUGGAAGUUUGACCCUUCUUCUGUACCACGAACGUAAAAAAGAACUCAUGAAUCCCAUAUGACAGGAGUUUUGGGCAUUUCCAGAGGUACAUUUAUGACCCUGGUGGAAGUUUGACCCUUCUUCUGUAUCAUGAACGUUAAAAAAAACCUCGCGAAUCCCAUAUGACAGGAGUUUUGGGCAUUUCCAGAGGUUCCUUUAUGAUCCC